UGCUGAUUGACAUAAACUUUAAAUUUAAUUAUGAUUAUUUUAUUUUUAGUUAGUAGUUUAGUUAGUAGUAAAGAAUGAGUUUAAGUACCUCGACACUGUUAACUUUCGCAAUCUGAACAGUUUCUUCUCGGGGUGAGGUUCGAGUCGAAGCCCGAGGUGAGCCAGACCUGGGCGAACCAAGUGACAGUCUGCGGGAGGACACACGGGGGGAGUGUCGUGGGGACAUUGGCAAGUGGCUUGACUGGUAACUGUCGCGUCCACUCUGCAUGUGAAUGGAUUAGUUUUAAUUUGGUUGCACGUUAGUUGGUUAGAUUGUUAGAUUUUAUUUCAUUUCAUUUCAUUUUAAUGGUUUUGUUUGUGG
rnacentral:lncRNA from 1 species